rnacentral:tRNA from 1 species
GGGGCUGUAGCUCAGUGGUAGAGCACUUGCCUAGCAUGUGUAUGGCACGCAGUUCAAUUCUCAGCACCA